rnacentral:rRNA from 1 species
CCUACGGGAGGCAGCAGUGAGGAAUAUUGGUCAAUGGCCGGAAGGCUGAACCAGCCAUGCCGCGUGAAGGUCAGUGCCCUAUGGGCGUUAAACUUCUUUUGUGCGGGAGCAAUAUUGGUCACGUGUGGCCAGACGAGAGUACCGUACGAAUAAGCAUCGGCUAACUCCGUGCCAGCAGCCGCGGUAAUACGGGGGAUGCAAGCGUUAUCCGGAUUUAUUGGGUUUAAAGGGUGCGUAGGCUGUGAGGUAAGUCAGCGGUGAAAUGCCCCCGCUCAACGGGGUGAAGUGCCAUUGAUACUGCCUGGCUGGAAUGCGGAUGCCGUGGGAGGAAUGUGUGGUGUAGCGGUGAAAUGCAUAGAUAUCACACAGAACACCGAUUGCGAAGGCAUCUCACGAAUCCGCGAUUGACGCUGAUGCACGAAAGCGUGGGUAUCAAACAGGAUUAGAUACCCUAGUAGUC